UGGACUAAAGAAAACGGCGCAAACGGGCGCAGAUGAUUAUUAGGAGUUGAUCGGAAGUUGGUUUGUGAUUUUGGAUAGCGUUUUAGCGAAUUAUUGCGUGCUUUUAUUACUGUUAGAGUUAUAGGUCUCUGAAAAAUGACUUCAAGAAAGUUUUUUGUUGGUGUGGAGGCGGCUUUGGAGGAGUUUGAUCGGAUGUCCGACACUGAAACUUGCAGCGAGGCUAGCUAGCUUUGACUCGGUCAGAGAAGCUGCUUACAAACUGGGAGAAGACCCUGAUUUUGAUUGUAGCAUCCAGUGGUGAAGAAUGGGAGCCAGCAAGUCAGGAUACUUAUUUUGUGUGUGUGUGUGUGUGUGU